GCGGGCGGGCGAACCCGGCCAGUCCCUCCCAAUCCCCGCAACCCCCGCCUCCGAGUGGGGGGGAAACCCAGGCCUGGAGGGAGGCUGGGCAGGUGCCGCGGGCUGUGCCGAAAGCGCUGAAAUCGAAAACCUUUGCCACUCAGGAAGAAUUAAGGCAAAGAGAUUGCAGACUCUGCUCCGGAAAAGCCCUGCACUCCAGCCACAGCCUGGUCGCUCGCGGGCCGACUGUGCUUGGCAAGUCGGUGGCAGCCGCGCCGUUCGAGCGCUUAGCCGAGAGGAGGGCGCAGGCGAGGCGAACAGCUCUGAGUGCGAUCCUACCCCGCCCGGGCCUGCAGCAGCCCGGGACUGUCGGAGGGCCUGUGAGAGAACAGAACUGGUUUCUGCGCCGCCCUCUGAGCCCACCUCCUGGCCACUCCGCCGCCAGCGUUUCUCCGGCUUAGGCCGGAAGCGCUACGCUGCUUCCAAACCCGCAGAUCCGGAGCUGGCAGACCCCAGACUGAUUCUCAACAGGUGGCUGGGUACUGCUGUGGCUGUUAGUCAACCUCAGAAUCGCCUGGUUCUCUGACGGAGGGUAUCUACACCGUUUCCCCCCAGUCUUGAGCGGUUGGUGUUCGUGGAGAGGUGCGGCUUCGUUGUCUGCUGCUCUGGCCACCGCGCCUUCCGGCCUGGUUGCCCGUUGGGUCUCCGUGAAUGCCAGAGAGCAGACGAUGGAGCAGCCAAGGCGGCAGCGAUGGCCCGGAGCCCUCGGAGCACCUGGCGUGGGCUGACCGAGCUACGCGACCGGGUCAGGGUAAAGGCUCCGGAGCCCCGCGACUCAGCGGGGCGGGUCUGGGGUCACUGCGGGGUGACCGGGCUGGGGAUCUGGCUUUGUUUCCCUCUCUAGCCACACUGCACACUUCCUUCCAGCCCCAGCCAGCCUCCAAGCCGCUGAGCCUUGGCCCUGUUUGUUUUUCCAGCCCGGAGCCCUUCACCCUCGAAGCUGCGUCAACCGCCCCAGGCCGUGGCUCGGUUCAGGCCGCAGUCUAGCCUCCGCCUUGCCGCGCCGCGAGUUCUGGCCCCGCAGGAAGCAGAGGGCACAGGAGGGCUCCGGGAUCUUGCGGGAGCCAGAGGGCACAAGGGACUAAAGAAGGGGAGGUGGCCGGGGAGCGGUUGAGGGCUUCAGAGGGUUGUGGAGGCCCAAGAUCUGGGCUCAGAGGGGCGCGUGUAACUUGAGUGGCGGCUCCUGGGUUUGGGACACGGGCAAGGAGUAGGGACAACGGUGAGGUUAACAGAUGGACUCCAUGUAGGAUCCUAUUAAGCUUGGGCCUUGAAUGUCACGUCAGUCAUAUGUACAAACUCAGUGACAUCCUGUAGGUAUACUCUCCCCCCUCACUUUUUGCUGGAUGCUUCCCAAGGUAGUGGAGCCUUGUCCCUGGCGCGGCGCUUCCUGUCUGCCCCAGUCGGGGGACACCCCCCCACCCCAGGCCUGCCUGCGGUGUCCACUUGUAUAGUCCUCUGGCCUUUGGCCUUUCCCAUUUUUGGAAGCCUAGAGUCUCCUCCCUGGCGUUCCAGAAGCCUCUAGCCGCAAAUGCCCUGCCAGAACCACCGUUCCUGACCGCUCGCGGAACGAGGAUCCGACUACGUGUACCGCGGCAUCCCAACACCCCGCAUCUUCGCGUCUUCGCAGACUCUCCGCGUACUCGCGGGGGGGGGGGGGAUGAGCUCGGGCGUUAUUUCUCAAGCAUCGCCCAUUUUACCUAAUCCCUUAUGUUUUUAUUUUAAUCCUACACAUUACAGUUAAUCUGUAAUGAUACUGCUUCGGAUGAACCUGUUGCAUACGAGGCACUGCAAUUUGUAACCUUGGAAACUGUUUUAAAUAAAGAUUAU